rnacentral:rRNA from 1 species
CCUACGGGAGGCAGCAGUGAGGAAUAUUGGUCAAUGGACGAGAGUCUGAACCAGCCAAGUAGCGUGAAGGAUGACUGCCCUAUGGGUUGUAAACUUCUUUUAUAUGGGAAUAAAACAGGGUAUGCAUACCCUCUUGUAUGUACCAUAUGAAUAAGGAUCGGCUAACUCCGUGCCAGCAGCCGCGGUAAUACGGAGGAUCCGAGCGUUAUCCGGAUUUAUUGGGUUUAAAGGGAGCGUAGGUGGAUUGUUAAGUCAGUUGUGAAAGUUUGCGGCUCAACCGUAAAAUUGCAGUUGAAACUGGCAGUCUUGAGUACAGUAGAGGUGGGCGGAAUUCGUGGUGUAGCGGUGAAAUGCUUAGAUAUCACGAAGAACUCCGAUUGCGAAGGCAGCUCACUGGACUGCAACUGACACUGAUGCUCGAAAGUGUGGGGAUCAAACAGGAGUAGAUACCCCAGUAGUC